rnacentral:rRNA from 1 species
GACGAACGCUGGCGGCGUGCUUAACACAUGCAAGUCGAACGGAAAGGCCCUGCUUGUGUGGGGUGCUCGAGGGGCGAACGGGUGAGUAACACGUGAGUAACCUGCCCUUGACUUUGGGAUAACUUCAGGAAACUGGGGCUAAUACCGGAUAGGAGCUCCUGCUGCAUGGGGGGGGUUGGAAAGUUUCGGCGGUUGGGGAUGGACUCGAGGCGUAAGAGCUUGUGGGUGGGGUAGUGGCUGACCAAGGCUUUGACGGGUAGCCGGCCUGAGAGGGUGACCGGCCACAUUGCGCCUGCGAUACGGCCCAGACUGCUACGGGGGGCAGCAGUCGGGAAUAUUGCCCAGUGGGCGGAAGCCUGAUGCAGCGGCCCCGCGUGCGUGAUGACGGCCUUCGGGUUGUAAACCGCUUUCGCCUAUGACGAAGCGUGAGUGACGGUACUAGGUAAAGAAGCACCGGCUAACUACGUG